ACCCUCGUGGCCUAGUGGAUAAGGCAUCGCUCUCCGAAACCGGGGAUUGCGGGUUCCAGUCCCGUGGAGGAUG